UGCAGUUGCAGUCUGUCUUUGGAAGCUGUAGAAAUAACAAGAAAGAGGCUGACAUAGCGUUUUGGUAGGGAAAAGUUUGAGUAUGUACAUGUACAGUUGUUUGGCCUGUCUAACCCUGAAGCAGUCCAAGAAGAUGUUACAAUUAUGAAAAAUGCAGGGGAACUUGAAGACAAUGGUUAGUGCAGAAGGGACAUAAAAGUUAUGACAAAAGUAACAGAU
rnacentral:lncRNA from 1 species